rnacentral:lncRNA from 13 species
AUGGCAGUUGUGUACAGUUCCAUACAUAGCUUUAACAUUACUGUUGUCCCACAAGUUGUGUUGGGAACUACAAACACCAGAGGCUCAGUAGUGUCUUCAGUGUGGUACCAGCACCGGGACGCAGCAUACAGGAGCGGCACCCAGUCACCAUUUACUGAGGGGGGUGAGAAGAUCAUCAGACCCAUCUCAGAUCCCAGACAUGUGGCCUGGGGAGAGGGAACCCUGACUGGAUGCGAGGCCCUCACUGGAGAUCCAUGCCAAUACACUGGCAAAAAAAACUUUUUUAACCUUUAUUUAACUAGGAAAGUCAGUGAAGAACAAAUUAUUUUUUACAAAGACGGCCUACACCAGCAAAACCCGGACGAUGCUGGGCCAUUGUGCGCCACUCUAUGGGACUCCCAAUCACGGCCGGUUGUGAUACAGCCGUGACAAUGUAGUCUGUCCCCUGCAAAAGGAAUGGAUGUUAUUAUGAGCAGAAAUGUGGAAAACUCAUUCUAGAAACCUGCAAUGCAAAUGCAAAGUCAUUCACCUUGAUUCGCAAUGUAUCCAUCAAUAGAAUUCCAAGCAGUAGAGACUAGUCAAGACUAUUCUGAAUUGUUCAGAUGCAUUACAUGCCAAGGAAUGAUCCAAGACCAAACAUGCACAGAAUGUAGUCCAUAAUAGAUUCAAGACCAAACAUACACAGCAUGUAGUCCAAAACAGAUUCAAGACCAAACAUACACAGCAUGUAGUCCAAAACAGAUUCAAGAUCAAACAUACACAGCAUGUAGUCCAAAACAGAUUCAAGACCAAACAUACACAGCAUGUAGUCCAAAACAGAUUCAAGACCAAACAUACACAGCAUGUAGUCCAAAACAGAUUCAAGACCAAACAUACACAUUAUGUAGUCCAUAAUAGAUUCAAGACCAAACAUACACAGCAUUUGGUACAGAACAGUUAGAACAGAAAUCCACGCAGUCUUCAUAAGUGAGAGGGGCAGAUGGGAAAGGACAGAAAGUGGAGAGUGAAUACCUCCUGGUGAACAAAGCAUCCAUUGUAGUGUACCAUCAGGACUGCCUCUGUCUGAGGUCUUCAGUUUGAGGCCUUAGCCCGAAAGGAGGUGGGACAGGGCCAGCGGAGAGGCUGAUUGGGACAGGGCCAGCGGAGAGGCUGACUGGGGACCGGGCCAGAGGAGAGGCNNNNNNNNNNCACAUUCUGUACACAGACGUAAUUGUCACUCCAUUCAUUCAACGAGUUCCUUUGAAGAUCGCUUAGCUUCACGCAGUGUUUUGACAGAGGGAAACCUUGCCUAUUUGUCAUAGACUUUUAAAGUUCCUGACUUUUUAAAGACACGAAAAAGUUUGAGGAUAUGGGUGGAGUUUGGGAAAGGGGAAAGGGAGGGAAGGGGCCGAAGAGAAAAAAAAGAGUGAUGUGUAGGCUAUGAAUUCGAUGCUGGGUGGGUCUAACGUUACAGCUUUUCAGAAUUGCAAAUAACUAUCGUGCGUAAAAGCUACUUCACAGGUAAUGUUUAUCAGCCUAAUGCGGUUUACAAUUUCUAUUCAAUGGGAUUGGUGGAGGGUUGGUACUGUUUAGCGAUUUUUUUGAAGGCUCUGUGGGCGAAAACAAUAGUUUUGGGGAGGUAUUUAAACGAUUUAUGAUGGAACUACAUUCAGUUGAUAAGGACGCUUUGGAAGGAUUACAUGGAUUUCACUUUUGCGAGCGGCAAAAAAACGUCAACAUAGNNNNNNNNNNUGACUUCCACAGGGCCUACUGCAGUAUGACUUCCACAAGGCCUACUGCAGUAUGACUUCCACAAGGUCUACUGCAGCAUGACUUCCACAAGGUCUACUACAGUAUGACUUCCACAAGGCCUACUGCAGUAUGACUUCCACAGGGCCUACUGCAGCAUGACUUCCACAAGGCCUACUGCAGUAUGACUUCCACAAGGCCUACUGCUGUACGACUUCCACAAGGCCUACUGCAGUAUGACUUCCACAAGGCCUACUGUAGCAUGACUUCCACAAGGCCUGCUAGUGUUACAAUAUAUGGAUUUACAUACAUCUGUCAAUUAAGAAGUUUGGAGUGUCCUGUUUCUGGAAUGUGAACAUCAGGAUGUCGUUCCCACAAUGGACAGUGGGGUCCACCGCUGUAUGGCAUGUCUAUGAUGUCCCUGCUGGGGUUCGAGCCCAGGGACUGGAGAGUAGAUCUGCUGUUUAACUGAGGCAAUAUCUUCAGGACAUAGGGUUACAUUAGAACAGACACAUUUUCAUGUGUAAGAUAAGGACAUACUUGUAUUAUUUUGUAGCCUAAGACUAGAAAUACACCUAUAUAUUUACUUACUUGAGAAGGUGUCAUGGUCAGGCUGAUAUUGCUGUUGGACAUCACCAUGGUACCCAAUGAGCAUCCUGUAAUUGACAACACAAUGUUCCCCAAGACAUGUCCAAAGUAGAGCUACCUACUGUGCAAAAGGACAGCUUUGAGGUGAAAAAUCCCAUCUAGGAAAAGUGGAACCACCAAUUUGACCUCAGAAUGUGAAACUCUACAUGCGAAAUUCGAUUAUAACGGCAAAUCUGUAUAUUAGACCUGACAGCUGUAAUUCCAAACUGAUUAUGCAAAUGUAGAGCGCUUCUCACAUGUGCGGUUAAUUAACUCAGACAAAACAAAAAUCUGGUUGGAUUUCAUCAUGGAAGAAAAAGAGACAUACAGUAGAAAGAAUUUGUUAAUACCUUGAAAUAUUGAGGGUAAAAAAGUCGGCCUAUAGGCUAAAGUACAAAAUGACAUCCAUAAACUAUGUGGGGGGGAAACAUUGCUAUGGAAAUUAUGUGUGCAGUAUAUCAUUACCCAAAACACGACUAGGUAAUGGCUGUUGCUAUUCUACUCAUAUUUUGGGUUGCUGCUGCGAUUCUGCGUACAUAUGUGUUGUUGUUUACUUAUAGGAAUGUGAGCUAUUCAUAUAUUCAUAUUUCUCAUGUGUUGAGAGCUCAUUGUAAAAGGGAGAGGUGUAGCCUACAUAUAGCUUUAAGGGCGGG